rnacentral:rRNA from 1 species
AUUCCAGGCGGCAGAUGGCGGAGGGGAAACACCCGGUCCCAUCCCGAACCCGGCAGUUAAGCCCUCCAGCGCCGAUGGUACUAGGCUGGUAACGGCCUGGGAGAGUAGGUCGCCGCCUGGAUCCUU